CUGAGGACUGGUACCAUAGCUGCGCGCCCAGCAUCAUCGGCAUCAUCAUAAUCAAUAUAAUCAAUGCUGCUUUGGAGAGUUUGCCACCUGUUGUAAAUGUUUCAGUGUCAACACGCGUCCAGAAAGACUAGAGCGGCUUAUUUUCAGAAGAAAUCCAUUGUUUGGUAAGCUUGAGAGGCACAUUCAGGGAGCAAAGGAGACAUUGUGGAUUACAGACAUGCUGCAUGUUUCGUGUGUUCCAUGUGCAGUUGAUGAUGAUGAUGAUGCCGUUUGCACGGAGAGAUUGAUGAGAUGUUUUUGUCCAGUCAUAACAUCCAGACCACCAGUGUACCAGCACUCGGGCCUAAAACCUCUUUCUGAGGGUUGGUUUCUCUCUUUGGUUAUCUAGCUGUAUGAGUUUUAACACUUUUCAUAAAGCUAGAUAACCGAAAGUAGAAAUAAUUCUCAAAAUCUGUUGAAAACAGCAAGAGAGCACCUACUUUUACCUCAGAGUCUUAUUUCCAUCCAAAAUAUGGCACAAUAAAGUAACAACAACAAGGGCACAGCCAUCAGAGAGAGAGCGAGAGAGAGAUGCUUGGAGGAACAUUGCUACAUCUUCCCUUCUCCGCCUACCCAGAAAGCCCCAGUGCCAUCUGUACCCCUGUGGGGUGCGGGAGAAUCCGUGCCAGUGCCAGCGGCGACAAAACCCUCAUCAGCGUCCUGGAGCCCCGGCACCAACACAGACGGCACAGGGAGGAAGGGAGGCCAUCUUGACGGAGAUCUUACACAAGAAGCUAAGAUGGCUGGGCUGGCACAUGAGAUGUGGACUGAACUCGGUGGAUUCACACUUUGUUGAAAAUGAGACGAAAAUUGACUAAAUAUUCAUCCAGAGAGAACAAUGGGAGCCUCAAGCACCUGAAAGUUUAAGAGGCACAUAAAAUCAUGUGUGUGUAUAUGAGAGCUAAAGUAUUUUGUGUUUAAUAUAAAAGAUUUGUACUGUACAGUAUUAUACAGUAUUUUCAUUAAGAUUAUAUUUGCAUUUUUUACAGUUGCCUAAAGAUA